CAGGUGGUCAGGUAGAGAAUACCAAGGCGCUUGAGAGAACUCGGGUGAAGGAACUAGGCAAAAUGGUGCCGUAACUUCGGGAGAAGGCACGCUGGUGUGUAGGUGAAGUCCCUGCGGAUGGAGCUGAGACCAGUCGAAGAUACCAGCUGGCUGCAACUGUUUAUUAAAAACACAGCACUGUGCAAACACGAAAGUGGACGUAUACGGUGUGACGCCUGCCCGGUGCCGGAAGGUUAAUUGAUGGGGUUAUCCGUAAGGAGAAGCUCUUGAUCGAAGCCCCGGUAAACGGCGGCCGUAACUAUAACGGUCCUAAGGUAGCGAAAUUCCUUGUCGGGUAAGUUCCGACCUGCACGAAUGGCGUAAUGAUGGCCAGGCUGUCUCCACCCGAGACUCAGUGAAAUUGAACUCGCUGUGAAGAUGCAGUGUACCCGCGGCAAGACGGAAAGACCCCGUGAACCUUUACUAUAGCUUGACACUGAACAUUGAGCCUUGAUGUGUAGGAUAGGUGGGAGGCUUUGAAGCCUGGACGCCAGUCUGCGUGGAGCCAACCUUGAAAUACCACCCUUUAAUGUUUGAUGUUCUAACGUUGGCCCCUGACCGGGGUUGCGGACAGUGUCUGGUGGGUAGUUUGACUGGGGCGGUCUCCUCCCAAAGCGUAACGGAGGAGCACGAAGGUUAGCUAAUCCUGGUCGGACAUCAGGAGGUUAGUGCAAUGGCAUAAGCUAGCUUGACUGCGAGCGUGACGGCGCGAGCAGGUGCGAAAGCAGGUCAUAGUGAUCCGGUGGUUCUGAAUGGAAGGGCCAUCGCUCAACGGAUAAAAGGUACUCCGGGGAUAACAGGCUGAUACCGCCCAAGAGUUCAUAUCGACGGCGGUGUUUGGCACCUCGAUGUCGGCUCAUCACAUCCUGGGGCUGAAGUAGGUCCCAAGGGUAUGGCUGUUCGCCAUUUAAAGUGGUACGCGAGCUGGGUUUAGAACGUCGUGAGACAGUUCGGUCCCUAUCUGCCGUGGGCGCUGGAGAAUUGAGGGGGGCUGCUCCUAGUACGAGAGGACCGGAGUGGACGCAUCACUGGUGUUCGGGUUGUCAUGCCAAUGGCACUGCCCGGUAGCUAAAUGCGGAAGAGAUAAGUGCUGAAAGCAUCUAAGCACGAAACUUGCCCCGAGAUGAGUUCUCCCUGAGACUUUAAGUCUCCUGAAGGAACGUUGAAGACGACGACGUUGAUAGGCCGGGUGUGUAAGCGCAGCGAUGCGUUGAGCUAACCGGUACUAAUGAACCGUGAGGCUUAACCUU
rnacentral:rRNA from 1 species